rnacentral:other from 1 species
AUCCUGGAAUGUACGAGGACCCUGUUAUUUUGAACCUACAUUUACGUGAAACGGGACUCCUAUAUUGUCAAUUGGAUGUCAGGCCUCUCGUCGUGGAAGACAGAAGAUUGAUUGCGGACACCCACCUAGCAAUCGCUAGGCGUCAAGAAAUGGGGAACGGCAUUUUGGGA